UACAGAGGGGGCAAGCGUUGUCCGGACUUACUGGGUGUAAAGCGCGCGUAGGCGGCUUUGCAAGUCGGGUGUGAAAUCCCCAGGCUUAACCUGGGAACUGCAUUCGAGACUGCAUUGCUAGAGUAUGGGAGAGGGAAGUGGAAUUUCCGGUGUAGCGGUGAAAUGCGUAGAUAUCGGAAGGAACAUCAGUGGCGAAAGCGACUUCCUGGACCAAUACUGACGCUCAUGUGCGAAAGCGUGGGGAGCAAACAGG
rnacentral:rRNA from 1 species